AUGGGGUGACUGCGUACCUUUUGUAUAAUGGGUCAGCGACUUAUAUUCUGUAGCAAGGUUAACCGAAUAGGGGAGCCGAAGGGAAACCGAGUCUUAACUGGGCGUUAAGUUGCAGGGUAUAGACCCGAAACCCGGUGAUCUAGCCAUGGGCAGGUUGAAGGUUGGGUAACACUAACUGGAGGACCGAACCGACUAAUGUUGAAAAAUUAGCGGAUGACUUGUGGCUGGGGGUGAAAGGCCAAUCAAACCGGGAGAUAGCUGGUUCUCCCCGAAAGCUAUUUAGGUAGCGCCUCGUGAAUUCAUCUCCGGGGGUAGAGCACUGUUUCGGCAAGGGGGUCAUCCCGACUUACCAACCCGAUGCAAACUGCGAAUACCGGAGAAUGUUAUCACGGGAGACACACGGCGGGUGCUAACGUCCGUCGUGAAGAGGGAAACAACCCAGACCGCCAGCUAAGGUCCCAAAGUCAUGGUUAAGUGGGAAACGAUGUGGGAAGGCCCAGACAGCCAGGAUGUUGGCUUAGAAGCAGCCAUCAUUUAAAGAAAGCGUAAUAGCUCACUGGUCGAGUCGGCCUGCGCGGAAGAUGUAACGGGGCUAAACCAUGCACCGAAGCUGCGGCAGCGACACUAUGUGUUGUUGGGUAGGGGAGCGUUCUGUAAGCCUGUGAAGGUGUACUGUGAGGUAUGCUGGAGGUAUCAGAAGUGCGAAUGCUGACAUAAGUAACGAUAAAGCGGGUGAAAAGCCCGCUCGCCGGAAGACCAAGGGUUCCUGUCCAACGUUAAUCGGGGCAGGGUGAGUCGACCCCUAAGGCGAGGCCGAAAGGCGUAGUCGAUGGGAAACAGGUUAAUAUUCCUGUACUUGGUGUUACUGCGAAGGGGGGACGGAGAAGGCUAUGUUGGCCGGGCGACGGUUGUCCCGGUUUAAGCGUGUAGGCUGGUUUUCCAGGCAAAUCCGGAAAAUCAAGGCUGAGGCGUGAUGACGAGGCACUACGGUGCUGAAGCAACAAAUGCCCUGCUUCCAGGAAAAGCCUCUAAGCAUCAGGUAACAUCAAAUCGUACCCCAAACCGACACAGGUGGUCAGGUAGAGAAUACCAAGGCGCUUGAGAGAACUCGGGUGAAGGAACUAGGCAAAAUGGUGCCGUAACUUCGGGAGAAGGCACGCUGAUAUGUAGGUGAAGUCCCUCGCGGAUGGAGCUGAAAUCAGUCGAAGAUACCAGCUGGCUGCAACUGUUUAUUAAAAACACAGCACUGUGCAAACACGAAAGUGGACGUAUACGGUGUGACGCCUGCCCGGUGCCGGAAGGUUAAUUGAUGGGGUUAGCGGUAACGCGAAGCUCUUGAUCGAAGCCCCGGUAAACGGCGGCCGUAACUAUAACGGUCCUAAGGUAGCGAAAUUCCUUGUCGGGUAAGUUCCGACCUGCACGAAUGGCGUAAUGAUGGCCAGGCUGUCUCCACCCGAGACUCAGUGAAAUUGAACUCGCUGUGAAGAUGCAGUGUACCCGCGGCAAGACGGAAAGACCCCGUGAACCUUUACUAUAGCUUGACACUGAACAUUGAGCCUUGAUGUGUAGGAUAGGUGGGAGGCUUUGAAGUGUGGACGCCAGUCUGCAUGGAGCCGGCCUUGAAAUACCACCCUUUAAUGUUUGAUGUUCUAACGUUGGCCCCUGAUCGGGGUUGCGGACAGUGUCUGGUGGGUAGUUUGACUGGGGCGGUCUCCUCCUAAAGAGUAACGGAGGAGCACGAAGGUUGGCUAAUCCUGGUCGGACAUCAGGAGGUUAGUGCAAUGGCAUAAGCCAGCUUGACUGCGAGCGUGACGGCGCGAGCAGGUGCGAAAGCAGGUCAUAGUGAUCCGGUGGUUCUGAAUGGAAGGGCCAUCGCUCAACGGAUAAAAGGUACUCCGGGGAUAACAGGCUGAUACCGCCCAAGAGUUCAUAUCGACGGCGGUGUUUGGCACCUCGAUGUCGGCUCAUCACAUCCUGGGGCUGAAGUAGGUCCCAAGGGUAUGGCUGUUCGCCAUUUAAAGUGGUACGCGAGCUGGGUUUAGAACGUCGUGAGACAGUUCGGUCCCUAUCUGCCGUGGGCGCUGGAGAACUGAGGGGGGCUGCUCCUAGUACGAGAGGACCGGAGUGGACGCAUCACUGGUGUUCGGGUUGUCAUGCCAAUGGCACUGCCCGGUAGCUAAAUGCGGAAGAGAUAAGUGCUGAAAGCAUCUAAGCACGAAACUUGCCCCGAGAUGAGUUCUCCCUGACUCCUUGAGAGUCCUGAAGGAACGUUGAAGACGACGACGUUGAUAGGCCGGGUGUGUAAGCGCAGCGAUGCGUUGAGCUAACCGGUACUAAUGAACCGUGAGGCUUAACCUUACAACGCCGAAG
rnacentral:rRNA from 1 species